AUACGGAGGAUCCGAGCGUUAUCCGGAUUUAUUGGGUUUAAAGGGUGCGCAGGCGGGAUGUUAAGUCGGCGGUGAAAAUUUUCAGCUCAACUGUAAAAGGGCCUUCGAUACUGGCUUUCUUGAGUGUGGAUGAAGUCGGCGGAGUUUUUGGUGGAGCGGUGAAAUGCUUAGAUAUCACGAGGAACUCCGAUUGCGCAGGCAGCUUACUAAACCACUACUGACGCUCAUGCACGAAGGCGUGGGGAUCAAACAGGAUUAGAUACCCUGGUAGUCCACGCAGUAAACGAUGAUUACUAGUUGUUUGCGAUACAAUGUAAGCGACUGAGCGAAAGCGUUAAGUAAUCCACCUGGGGAGUACGUUCGCAAGAAUGAAACUCAAAUGAAUUGACGGGG
rnacentral:rRNA from 1 species